rnacentral:rRNA from 1 species
AUUGAACGCUGGCGGCAUGCCUUACACAUGCAAGUCGAACGGCAGCAUGGGUGCUUGCACCUGAUGGCGAGUGGCGAACGGGUGAGUAAUGCAUCGGAACGUACCUUUCAGUGGGGGAUAACGUAGCGAAAGUUACGCUAAUACCGCAUAUUCUGUGAGCAGGAAAGCAGGGGAUCUUCGGACCUUGCGCUGAUGGAGCGGCCGAUGUCAGAUUAGCUAGUUGGUGGGGUAAAGGCCUACCAAGGCGACGAUCUGUAGCGGGUCUGAGAGGAUGAUCCGCCACACUGGGACUGAGACACGUCCAAGACUCCUAGGGGAGGCAGCAGUGGGAAAUUUUGGACAAGGGGGGCAACCCUGAUCCAGCCAUGCCGCGUGAGUGAAGAAGGCCUUCGGGUUGUAAAGCUCUUUCGGACGGGAAGAAAUCGUGGUGGAUAAUAUCUGCCAUGGAUGACGGUACCGUAAUAAGAAGCACCGGCUAACUACGUGCCAGCCGCCGCGGUAA